UUGAUGUUGUAGAUACUGCAUCAGGAACUGAUUGGAUCCCAGGGAGCAGCCAUCAGUUCCUAAUGCACUGCCUUCGGCAUCUA
ensembl:miRNA xtr-mir-217 xtr-mir-217